rnacentral:misc_RNA from 1 species
AUUUUUUUUUCUUUAAUUAAAUAAAUGGACAUAAAACGGGAAACCACUGCCGUUCAAGUUCCAGAAAAUGUCGUUCAGGAAGAAACUUCCAUUGCCCAUCCUCAAGAAACUUGACCGCCACCCUUCACCACCACCGCCACCACCGCUGCCUCCACUCCCUGACCCACCACCUACCCCUCUUACACCUCUCCCUACUGUUACUCUCAGACCUACAUCUCAUCACUCCCAUCUCCUCCACUUCCUCCAAACCCACCUGGCCACCAAUCCACUAACCCCUUUCCACCUCCUUCACUUCCUCAAAUCGAAGCUCCGCCAUCACUCUCUGUUCUCCCACUAUGAUUUUCUCAUCUUCAAUUGGGCCUCCACCAUUGACUCUUUUCGCCAUGAUCACUCCACUUUUGAAUGGAUGGCACGGACUCUUGCUAUCACCAACCGUCUCUCGGAACUCUCCUCGCUUCUCUCUUUCAUGGCAUCCAAUCCCUGCCCUUGUUCUGAAGGUAUAUUUUCUUGUCCUAGAAUUGAACCCAUUUUUCAGUUUGCUAUUAAUGGUUAUUGUAAGGCAGGGAAAUUGGAUGAUGCCUCGCUUGCUUUUGAGACCAUGAGGAAAUUGAUUGAUGGGAGGCCCAUUGUAGCUGUUUAUAAUGUUUUGAUUCAUGGGUAUGUUAAAUGUGGGCAGCAUGAUAAGGUUACGGAGAUAUAUAAUAGGAUGUUGAAGGAUAGAGUUAAGCCUGAUGUGUUUACUUUUAAUAUCUUGAUUAGUAGCUAUUGUAGGAAUAAGAAGUUCGAGAUGGCUUUAGAGUUGUUUAGGGAGAUGAGAGAGAAGGGGUGUAGUCCUAAUGUGGUUAGUUUUAAUACAUUGAUUAUGGGGUUCUUUAGGGAGAGGAAGUUUGAUGAAGGGGUUAAGAUGGCAUAUGAGAUGAUUGAUUUGGGGUGUGGGUUUUCAAGUGUGACUUGUGAGAUUUUGGUCGAUGGUCUCUGUAGGGAAGAGAGAAGCUUGGAGGCUUGUGAAUUGUUGAUUGAUUUUUCAAGAAAAGGAGCUUUGCCAAGUAAUUUUGAUUUCUAUAUACUUAUGGACAAGCUAUGUGGCAAAAGAAACAUAGGAGCAGCUUUGGAGUUGUUGAAUGAGUUGUGGAGGAAUGGAAAUGUUCCAAGCGUAAUUUCUUGUAUCACUUUAAUAGAAGGUUUGAGGAAGUUGAGGAAAAUAGAAGAAGCAUUCAGAUUGAUGGAAAGAAUGUUGAAGGAGAGUAUUAUUUCAGAUAUUGUGACCUUUAAUUAUCUCCUUCAAGAUCUUUGCAAUGUAGGAAGAACAGUUGAUGCUGACAAAUUGAGAUUAUUGGCUUCUAGCAAGGGUUUGGAACUAGAUGAUAUGACAUAUUACACUUUGGUAUUUGGGUAUACAAGAGAGGGCAAAAGGAAGGAAGGAGAAGUUUUGGUGGAUGAGAUGCUGGAUAGAGAAUUUAUACCUGAUCUUGCUACAUAUAAUAGGUUAAUGGAUGGCCUUUCUAAAUCUAGAAGCCCUCCUAAACACCAUUUUUGACUGAGUUGAAAAGGUGAAUGCAUAGACAUCUUCAAUUUUUACAUUUUGGUUUUGGCACCAACAGUUUAGUGGAAUUAGCUGGGAUUUCUCAAUUAUGGUGGAAUUCCUCUUCCAUGAAGUAAGUAAGAACUUUGACGAAACAGACAAAUGCAUAUAGGCUGUUGUAAAUCAAGGAGGAAAGGAAGAAGUUAAAAGUGGAAGCAGCAGGUAUAAAUAUAUUCAUACAAACUGCAUUUGUCAUCCAUGAUAAUGCCAAGGUAAUUGUCAUCAGCUGCAGAUGAAUAAGGAUGAGGAGCUGCUUAAAUAAAUGAAUGAUGCUGAAAAUGAGCUUGCUGUUGUUUCACUUAAAGCUUUGAUUGAUAGGUGCAUACAGUUUGAUGAGUACUGUUUGUUCUUUCCUAUAAGGAGAGGCAAGCUAUAGCAUAAGUUAUGAAACCAAGAGAGGCACUUCUAGUUUUGAAAGAAGUUAACUAAAGAGGGAUGUAUGGUGAAAAGUCAGGAAAGCAAUUUAUAUCUCCAUGUUAAUUACCUUCUUCCCUUCCAUUGAGACUCGGUGAAGGCUUUUUGCAUACUCUGGCUGAUGUUUGUUUGUGGGAGGGGCUUUUGUUCCAAAGGCUUUAGGAAUUUUGGCUUGCGUGGAAGGAAAUGAGAUGCUUCCAAAUAAGACGAAGAUUUUAUGUAGAGAAGGACUGCAGGAUGUCCAUGCAAGAAAGGAGAACUGAGAGGAAGAGAACAGCUGAGCUCACUCCUCAUGGGUAUAAUUUGGCCUGCGCAUCGGUUCAUGGUGCCAGCAACUCCAUCGACCUUGGUCUCUUCUUGCUUGGCAUUUUAAUGGUCAAGCAGAUUCUCUGCAGUUGUUUCCCUGGCAUCGAGAAAAUGGUCACCAACACAGCCCCAUUCUAUAAUGCUUGGAACCAUCAUCAUAGCCUUUGUGGUAAUGGGUUUUGCAUCGGUUGCCCACAAGGGGAAAGAUAGAGAGAUUGCAGGGGUAUUCUACACCAAGCCUGCCUUCAAGACACUACAAGUGGCUGCAGAGAUUCAUGAUGAGCAAAACUAGCUGGAAUGACAUUGUAGGUGGCUUGGAACACCUCAAUUUUGUUCCAACUUACUCAGGACUUAAAAUCAUCUUAAUGUUUCUGUAGAUUAAUUUGACUCCAAUACAGGUAGUCCUU